rnacentral:rRNA from 1 species
GCUUAACGUUGCGCGUGCAGUGGGUACGGGCUGACUAGAGUGCAGUAGGGGAGUCUGGAAUUCCUGGUGUAGCGGUGAAAUGCGCAGAUAUCAGGAGGAACACCGGUGGCGAAGGCGGGACUCUGGGCUGUAACUGACACUGAGGAGCGAAAGCAUGGGGAGCGAACAGGAUUAGAUACCCUGGUAGUCCAUGCCGUAAACGUUGGGCACUAGGUGUGGGGGACAUUCCACGUUCUCCGCGCCGUAGCUAACGCAUUAAGUGCCCCGCCUGGGGAGUACGGUCGCAAGGCUAAAACUUAAAGGAAUUGACGGGGGCCCGCACAAGCGGCGGAGCAUGCGGAUUAAUUCGAUGCAACGCGAAGAACCUUACCAAGGCUUGACAUACACUGGACCGUUCUGGAAACAGUUCUUCUCUUUGGAGCUGGUGUACAGGUGGUGCAUGGUUGUCGUCAGCUCGUGUCGUGAGAUGUUGGGUUAAGUCCCGCAACGAGCGCAACCCUCGUUCUAUGUUGCCAGCACGUGAUGGUGGGAACUCAUAGGAGACUGCCGGGGUCAACUCGGAGGAAGGUGGGGAUGACGUCAAAUCAUCAUGCCCUUUAUGUCUUGGGCUUCACGCAUGCUACAAUGGCUGGUACAGAG